CUGAAGUGGGUGGCCAUUUCCUUCUCCAGGUGAUCUUCCCAACCCAGGAAUCAAACCCACAUCUCUUAUGUCUUGAGCACUGGUGGGUUCCAGCAUCCUCCUGCUGAUAGUUGUUCAACAGCUAGUUGUGAUUUUGGUGCUCUUGCAGGAAGACAUGAGCUUACGUUCAUCUACUCUGCCAUCUUGAACCAGAAGCUCCUCACAGUCUCAUCAACUUCAACUGGUCUGCUUGACUGUGGAGCGUGGUCCAGGGAAGAAUAUCUAUACAAAAUUUUGCAAAACACUUUUGACAUGUUGGCUCACUCCCAGCACUUUCUCC
ensembl:lncRNA